rnacentral:rRNA from 1 species
CGCGUAGGCGGGGUCGUGGGUCGGCCGUGAAAUCCACCGGCUCAACCGGUGAACUGCGGUCGAAACUACGACUCUUGAGCUCGGUAGAGGAAGGCGGAAUUCCUGGUGUAGCGGUGGAAUGCGUAGAUAUCAGGAAGAACACCGGUAGCGAAGGCGGCCUUCUGGGCCGUAGCUGACGCUGAGGCGCGAAAGCCGGGGGAGCGAACA